GAUGAACGCUGGCGGCGUGCCUAAUACAUGCAAGUCGAGCGAACGGACGAGAAGCUUGCUUCUCUGAUGUUAGCGGCGGACGGGUGAGUAACACGUGGAUAACCUACCUAUAAGACUGGGAUAACUUCGGGAAACCGUAGCUAAUACCGGAUAAUAUUUUGAACCGCAUGGUUCAAAGGUGAAAGACGGUCUUGCUGUCACUUAUAGAUGGAUCCGCGCUGCAUUAGCUAGUUGGAAGGUAACGGCUUACCAAGGCAACGAUGCAUAGCCGACCUGAGAGGGUGAUCGGCCACACUGGAACUGAGACACGGUCCAGACUCCUACGGGAGGCAGCAGUAGGGAAUCUUCCGCAAUGGGCGAAAGCCUGACGGAGCAACGCCGCGUGAGUGAUGAAGGUCUUCGGAUCGUAAAACUCUGUUAUUAGGGAAGAACAUAUGUGUAAGUAACUGUGCACAUCUUGACGGUACCUAAUCAGAAAGCCACGGCUAACUACGUG
rnacentral:rRNA from 1 species